GCCUACUUUGAUCCGGCUGCGUUUAAGUGAUGAAUAACAACUUGGUCUAAGUGAAAAAUUAGUGAAACAAAUCUGAUUACAAGGAUGAAAAAAAAAGUUGGGCUUCCUGUAGAGAAAGAAGACUUACACAAAGAAGUCAGAAAGAGACGAUGGGGAAAGGGAAGGAAAUACCCACUUGACCUGCCUG